GGAAAUGUGGUCAGAGAGGUAACAGGGAGCCAGGCCGUGCAGGGCCUCGUAGGCCACUAGAAAUUCUUUGGCUUUUGCUGUACGUGAGAUCUGAAGUCCCUGAAGGCUUGGCUUCUUAGAGGAGUGACAAGUUCUGAGUUGCAUGUUGCUAGGAGCCCUGUGGCUGCUUGGUGGUGAGGAGGCUGGAGUUGGCCUCGGGGUGAAGCAGAGAGACCAGCUAAGAGGGCGCUGCCCAGUAAUCCUGGUGACAGACGGUGGGCCCUGUGAGUGAAGUCUGUGUGCGCUUCUUGUCCUGCAGAGGGAACAAGCAGGACGAGGAGGAGAACCAGGUGUCAGCAUGAAGAAAAUGAGAGCGCUGGGGAGAACGAAGGCAGGCUGUUUCCUUCAGACUAAAGGCGGAAGAAAUCUGAUAUGCAGCGUGAUCUCACCACCUCCCAGAGUCUGAGAGCUCCUGCACAGAAUGUCAGAAGGAAUGGGCUCCCCUCUCCAGGGUAGCCCAGGAAAGCUGUAUGGCCAUGAAAACACAUCAGGACAAAUGGAGUGAAGACACAGCGUUUCUUUUAACAGCUGAAACAAGGUCAGUUGCUGCUCCUGCAGGAACAGUGUCUGCUCAGUAGGAUGGGAGAGAAAACAUCCUGAUAAACCAAGAUAAUGUGGCAUCUUUAUCUGCCAUCAACAAACUAAUUGAACUAAUGAACUCCAACCCUGCUGGGUAAUGGGAGGGUGAGAACUGUCAUUUGUCCAAAGUGGUAAAAAUACAUAACAUGCAGAAGUGGUUAGGAACACAGGCUCAAGAGACAGGUGGUUUGAUUUCCACUCUCAGUUCUGUGUGACCCUGGGCAAGUCUUUUAACCUCCCUGAUCCAAAGGUUCCCCCUUUGUAAAGUGGGGAUGACAACAAUACUUCCUUCCCUUAGGAGUUUGUGAGGAUUAAAUGAGAAGAUACUGCUAAAGCACUCAGAACAGCGUCUAGCAGGC
rnacentral:lncRNA from 1 species